UACAGAGGAUGCAAGCGUUAUCCGGAAUGAUUGGGCGUAAAGCGUCCGCAGGUGGUUUUGUAAGUCUGCUGUUAAAGCGUUAGGCUCAACCUAAUAAGGGCAGUGGAAACUAUGAGACUAGAGUAUGUUAGGGGUGGAGGGAAUUCCCAGUGUAGCGGUGAAAUGCGUAGAGAUUGGGAAGAACACCGGUGGCGAAAGCGCUCUGCUAGGACAAUACUGACACUGAGGGACGAAAGCUAGGGGAGCGAAUGGG
rnacentral:rRNA from 1 species